rnacentral:rRNA from 1 species
CCCGCACAAGCGGUGGAGCAUGUGUUUAAUUCGAAGCAACGCGAAGAACCUUACCAGGUCUUGACAUCCCCUGACAACCCGAGAGAUCGGGCGUUCCCCUUCGGGGGACAGGGUGACAGGUGGUGCAUGGUUGUCGUCAGCUCGUGUCGUGAGAUGUUGGGUUAAGUCCCGCAACGAGCGCAACCCUCGACCUUAGUUGCCAGCAUUCAGUUGGGCACUCUAAGGUGACUGCCGGCUAAAAGUCGGAGGAAGUGGGGAUGACGUCAAAUCAUCAUGCCCCUUAUGACCUGGGCUACACACGUGCUACAAUGGGCGGUACAAAGGGUCGCGAACCCACGAGGGGGAGCCAAUCCCAAAAAGCCGCUCUCAGUUCGGAUUGCAGGCUGCAACUCGCCUGCAUGAAGCCGGAAUCGCUAGUAAUCGCGGAUCAGCAUGCCGCGGUGAAUACGUUCCCGGGCCUU